rnacentral:ribozyme from 11 species
AAAGAAAGAAGAAAGGGAAAGAAAAAAGAAAGCCAUAUCGUCUUUCUGUUUGUCCAUCUUUCUGUUCCGCUGUCUGCGCAUCUUGCAGGCUCAGCCUGUGAAAAAUACAAGGACGAA